rnacentral:rRNA from 1 species
UACGUAGGGUGCGAGCGUUUGUCCGGAAUUACUGGGCGUAAAGAGCUCGUAGGUGGUUUGUCGCGUUGUUCGUGAAAACUCACAGCUCAACUGUGGGCGUGCGGGCGAUACGGGCAGACUGGAGUACUGCAGGGGAGACUGGAAUUCCUGGUGUAGCGGUGGAAUGCGCAGAUAUCAGGAGGAACACCGGUGGCGAAGGCGGGGUCUCUGGGCAGUAACUGACGCUGGAGGAGCGAAAGCGUGGGGAGCGAACAGG